rnacentral:rRNA from 1 species
CCUACGGGGGGCAGCAGUGGGGAAUAUUGGACAAUGGGGGCAACCCUGAUCCAGCCAUGCCGCGUGUGUGAAGAAGGCCCUCGGGUUGUAAAGCACUUUCAGUGAGGAAGAACGCCUGGUGGUUAAUACCCAUCAGGAAAGACAUCACUCACAGAAGAAGCACCGGCUAACUCCGUGCCAGCAGCCGCGGUAAUACGGAGGGUGCGAGCGUUAAUCGGAAUUACUGGGCGUAAAGCGCGUGUAGGUGGCUUGAUAAGCCGGUUGUGAAAGCCCCGGGCUCAACCUGGGAACGGCAUCCGGAACUGUCAAGCUAGAGUGCAGGAGAGGAAGGUAGAAUUCCCGGUGUAGCGGUGAAAUGCGUAGAGAUCGGGAGGAAUACCAGUGGCGAAGGCGGCCUUCUGGACUGACACUGACACUGAGGUGCGAAAGCGUGGGUAGCAAACAGGAUUAGAUACCCCUGUAGUC